AUUGAACGCUGGCGGCAUGCUUUACACAUGCAAGUCGAACGGUAACAGGCCGCAAGGUGCUGACGAGUGGCGAACGGGUGCGUAAUGCAUCGGAACGUGCCCAGUCGUGGGGGAUAACUACUCGAAAGAGUAGCUAAUACCGCAUACGAUCUAUGGAUGAAAGCGGGGGACCGUAAGGCCUCGCGCGAUUGGAGCGGCCGAUGUCAGAUUAGGUAGUUGGUGGGGUAAAGGCUCACCAAGCCAACGAUCUGUAGCUGGUCUGAGAGGACGACCAGCCACACUGGGACUGAGGCACGGCCCAGACUCCUACGGGAGGCAGCAGUGGGGAAUUUUGGACAAUGGGCGCAAGCCUGAUCCAGCAAUGCCGCGUGCAGGAAGAAGGCCUUCGGGUUGUAAACUGCUUUUGUACGGAACGAAACGGCUCUGGUUAAUACCCGGGGCUAAUGACGGUACCGUAAGAAUAAGCACCGGCUAACUACGUG
rnacentral:rRNA from 1 species